GUCCUGACUACUAUUUACUGUGUGUUUAAUCACAGAGGCUUUGGAGGGAGCCGAAUCUGUCUGGAGAAAGCAAAGCUGAAAAAGUAAUGUUAUUUCAUUUUUUAAUGGGUGAGAAGCUAGACAGAGGGGGUGGGGGGAGGCUGGAAAAUCAAACCACAUUUUGGAGGGGGAAGUGAGGCAGAAUAGUCCCAACUUCAUUUUUGUUCAAUAUGUUAAUGCUAAAUGUUUGACAGCCACACAACUUCUUUAGGGAUUACUCUGCUCCCUGUAUUUAGACUGGUCUUAGCACAAAGAAUAAUGUUUAAGAAUAACAGAAACCUUUAAAAUUAUUAAUUGUAAAGCAGACUGAAAUGAAUAAACCUUGUUUUCCCUCCUGUGUACCCAAGGGGUGGUACUGGCACAGUGCAGGAGCUCCUUGUUGGGUCAGGGGGAUGCAGGAGGUGCUGUGGGAACAGAGCAGGCACCCAUAGGUGGUAGCAGCAGUGUGGCUGUGGGGUUGGGAGCAGUGAAGACAUAGUUGGCUUGUGGUGUUAGAAGCUGCAGAGGGGAGGAGGGGAGUGCUGGAGUUGGGUGGGGGGACUGGCAGGUUGCUCACAGCUGCACUUUAUAGGUCCUGCUUGAGAGCAAAUGUAUUUAUUUAGCUGGGGAAAAGGGGGGAGGGUAUGGCCUGCUGGUUACAAAUAGAUUCUGUUGUAUGGGUUUAAGAUGCAGGAAGAAAAUAGACCAGAUGGGUGUUCUGGAUGGGGGGCUCUUAUCUUUUUUCCAUGCCUUGCUGGGGGUUCAGGGCUGUGUGCUACCCUUUAAUUCUGCUGUUCACCUUCAGCACAGCAAGGCAUUGAGGGCUGCACUAAAUAGGUCUGGAGUAAGUGCAGAUGGAGUGGGACAUGAAAAGUACAACUUGUUACUGAAUUACACAGGGAAUAUAGGGGAAUAAAACGUAGAUGAACUCUUCAAGAACCUGAAUCAUGUUCCACAACUUUCUGGAGAAUUUGCAUAUGGUUGCAAUUUUCUCAUAACAACGGCUCUUCAGGAGCAAUUUCUUCCCUCUUUGCCUGUUUGUGCUUUAGCAAUCCUGGCUUCAACUCUGUUGCAGGCAUUGAUUAUCUUCUCUGGUUUCAAUGGGGGUAGGGGUGUGAUAGCACUGUGCCGAAUGCGGCUCAAGGAAUAUGCCUUAGACCAUGCAAACAACAAAAGAUAAACCUUGACCCCACUGACUGGUCAGGACUUGGCAUUUCAUUCCUGGUUUACCUUGUCCUCUUCAGCAUAAUUCCAGCUUUGGAGCCCCACACAAAUCUUUUCUGCUCCUUCUUAUUCCUUCUUCAUAUAUCUUUUGGGAAGUGGAGUUUAACUCCCUUCCAUCAAAAGCAUAUGGUUUCUGGGUUGGAUACUCAGACUAAAGCUUCACACUGGUGUACUGAUAAUUGUAUAUAUGCAUUUAUAUAAAUAUAUAAUAUUCUAUGUGUUUUUACAUACAUACAUAUUAAUUUUAUAGGUAUGUAUAGGUCUAGAUAUAAAUGAUAUCACAUGGCCUGCACUCUGGAGAUUAACUCGAAAUAAAUAUAAUCACAUAAAAAUAAAGAGAUGUUGC
rnacentral:lncRNA from 1 species